CGCCUGGGGAGUGCGGCCGCAAGGCUAAAACUCAAAGGAAUUGACGGGGCCCCGCACAAGCGGCGGAGCAUGCGGAUUAAUUCGAUGCAACGCGUAGAACCUUACCUGGGUUUGACAUGGAUCGGGAGUGCUCAGAGAUGGGUGUGCCUCUUUUGGGGUCGGUUCACAGGUGGUGCAUGGCUGUCGUCAGCUCGUGUCGUGAGAUGUUGGGUUAAGUCCCGCAACGAACGCAACCCUUGUUCACUGUUGCCAGCACGUUAUGGUGGGGACUCAGUGGAGACCGCCGGGGUCAACUCGGAGGAAGGUGGGGAUGACGUCAAGUCAUCAUGCCCCUUAUAUCCAGGGCUUCGCGCAUGCUACAAUGGCUGGUACAGAGAGUGGCGAGCCUGUGAGGGUGAGCGAAUCUCGGAAAGCCGGUCUCAGUUCGGAUUGGGGUCUGCAACUCGACCUCAUGAAGUCGGAGUCGCUAGUAAUCGCAGAUCAGCAACGCUGCGGUGAAUACGUUCCCGGGGCUUGUACACACCGCCCGUCAAGUCAUGAAAGUUGGUAACACCCGAAGCCGGUGGCCUAACCGUUGUGGGGGAGCCGUCGAAGGUGGGACUGGUGAUUAGGACUAAGUCGUAACAAGGUAACCGUA
rnacentral:rRNA from 1 species